ensembl:lncRNA
CCCCCCCUUUUCUUUCCUUUCCCCCCCCUUUUCUUUCCUUUCCCCCCCUUUUCUUUCCUUUUUUCCCUUUUUCCCUCCUUUUCUCUCUUUCCCCCCUUUUCAUUUUUCCUUUUUUCCCCUAUUUUUUUUCCUUUUUAUUUUUAUUUUUUAAUCAUCAUUUUUUUCUUUUUGCAGUAGGAGUCUUUGCCUGCUUUUCUUUCUUGGUUCUGUACAAAGAAGCCUUGGAAGGUUAUCUGCUGCUAUCAGGAAUGCUACUCUUGGUCUUCCUCAGUUACCCAAACACGGAUUUCUGUGUUUUAAACUCUCAGUGGACGCUUUUUCCUUAUUAUAGCUAACGUAAAUCCAGGAGAUUGCAUAGAAGAGUUUCCUACAAAUCCCUUUCUUUCUCUUUGCGAUCCGGCAACCAGACAGCCUCCAGUAAUUCGUUGUAGGCCCCAUUCGAACCCUCCCUCCACUUUCGCCCGCGCUGCAGGAAAUGGACGCCUUGCUCCCCCUGCCUCGCGUGAGCAGUGGUACAGCCCGCCCACCUCUCGCGAGAGCAGUGGUGCGGACAGCCCCCCGCCGUAGGGUGGUACAUCCUGAGCCCUUAUAAGCGGCGGCCGCGAUUCUUCCCGCCCUUUCUCCUCGUGCGGCAGGUGUGGUUUGGUGUUAUGGUGGCUCUCGGUAGAGCUGCGGAGAGGGCCCCCAUCCCCCGGGCAGCGGUGGUGCACGCCGUGCCUCCUCGUCCCCCAAGGGCUAUAGGCCCGACCGCUCGAGGUGGCAGUUGAGGGAGAUGAAGGAGAGCUGGCCUCGCUCCUCCCGUCCCCGCAGGCCCUUAUGGAGACGGAUGGCGGUACCGCGCCCGGCCGGGAGUGCGCAGGCAGCGCUGGAACGGCCCUGCGGUCCGUCCUGAGAUCGACUGCUGAGGAGUACUGCUUUAAUGCUUGUUUGGUGUCUAUUCGCCCAGCGGAACGAUGCCCUGAAGCAAAGAAAGCUGGGAUUUGCAGAUGAUGUGAUACAAUAAGGACUGGGAGCAGGCAUCUGUCUGGAGAUGGCCAUAAUGUGAAGCCCUUCAGAAGGCCUUGGGACAGAAGUGAGACUGCAAGGGCAAGAGAUUGUUCUGGGUGUUGAUGCUGAAAGCACAUUUGUUUGAGGAAGAAGGAACCCAAUGGAACAUGAGUGAGCUUGGCAACUGACCUUUGUAAACGUCACCUGUUUUUCUGUGCUAAAAGAAUAAAAAAGGCAGAUGUUGCUGACCAUUUUGCCCACUUGGUGUCACCAAGUGAAAGAUUUUAAUGUACUUCAGAGUAUAUGUAGAAAGAAGGUAAUGAUUAUUAAUUAACUGCAUGUGACCACAUGCUUAUGUGGUGGGAAUGGGAAUCUAAAGCUGUCAGCUCAAAGUAGAAUAUAUGUGGAUGUUGCUUUUGAAAGGGAUGAAAAUUCCAUCCUAUAUGGAAGUUCUUAGGAUGUGUGCCAGGAAGCAGCCCUUAAGCAAAGCUGGCAAAGCAGCUGUCAGUCAAAAAUUGUAGUUUAGAAGUAGCAAGGAGUUAGGAAUCACCUAGAAGCCAUUUUGUACGCUUCACUUCCCUUCUGUGAAACAGCUGGUCAGAUAUCAAAGUUGGGAAAAAUAAACUUAGUAGUCAUAAAUGAAUAUGGCUCUGUCACGUAACUGUUUUCACCUGAUUUUAAGAGCUUUUGUAUUAGAACUACAUGCUAUAAUUUGCAUUGGAGUUAAAAAAAAAUGUUUUGAAAGGCUUCAGAAAGAGCUCAUGGAGUCUGCUUUUGUUCUAAAUGAGGUUCUGUACACCAUUAAAGAUGAGGGUUAGCAUGGCCACGCUUUCUGUAAAGGGAAACAAGUUUUUGGCUCAGUUGUUCCAUGAGCUACAAAUGGCUGAGUGCCAGUUCAUAGCAGUAAGGGAGAUGCUGAUGCUGUGUUGUAAUUCACUGUGAGAAAGCAUAAGGAUG